GCCGCAUCGAGUUUUAGCUGUCUUAAUAUCGUUGUUGUUGUUGUUGUUGUUUGCGUUUCCCUUUUCGACGAUUUCUUUCGCGUUUUUUUUUUUUUUGUUGUGUUUUUUCCGUUCUUCGCGUCCGUACCGUUUUACGACCGGGGAACCGUCUGGGUAUUACAGACGCGUAUAACGAACGUUUGUCGUGUACGGCCGCGUAUGCGGUGUGACGGUCGAAUCGCGGUCGUCGCGAAAUCGGCGGAUCGCACGCUAUACAGGCCGGGACGCCUGCAAUUUAAAUGCCCGAAAACACCGGAUGGCCGGGCGGUCUGGACGUGGACUGUCAAUAUUGCCGGUGUGUGUGUGUGAGAGUGUGUCGGUUAGCAUCGAGCGUGUUGUUGCACGGUAGUCGCGUCGCGCACGGCCGCGGACCGAAUUUAUAUAACAGCGCGUGUGUGUACGCCCGCCAACUAUAGCGCGUACGAUAAUUGUUAGCUGUGCGUACGUUUGUAAUACCCGCAGAGGUAGGUCCCUACGCCGUAAUAAUGUUGGCGCGCGC